rnacentral:rRNA from 1 species
UACGGAGGGUACUAGCGUUGUCCGGAUUUAUUGGGGUUAAAGGGCUUGUAGGUGGCUUGACGCGUCAGUCGUGAAAUCCUGUGGCUUAACCAUGGGAUUGCGGUGGGUACGGGCAGGCUUGAGUGCGAUUGGGGAGACUGGAAUGCCUGAUGUAGCGGUGAAAUGCGCAGAUAUCAGGCGGAACACCGGUGGCGAAGGCGGGUGUCUGGGUC